GGCUCCUUUAAAUUAGCCCUGUGAGGCUAGUAAGGAGAAUUAUAGAUUGGAUUUAAACCUUCUUACUCUCCUCAGGGAAAAGAAGGUUUUUUGU
rfam:Acetohalobium arabaticum DSM 5501, complete genome.